rnacentral:rRNA from 1 species
UACGGAGGGUGCGAGCGUUGUCCGGAAUCACUGGGCGUAAAGGGUGCGUAGGAGGGCAGGUAAGUCAGUGGUGAAAUCCCCGAGCUUAACUUGGGAACUGCCGUUGAUACUAUCUGUCUUGAAUAUUGUGGAGGUGAGCGGAAUAUGUCAUGUAGCGGUGAAAUGCUUAGAUAUGACAUAGAACACCAAUUGCGAAGGCAGCUCGCUACACAUAUAUUGACUCUGAGGCACGAAAGCGUGGGGAUCAAACAGG